rnacentral:rRNA from 1 species
UACAGGGGGGGGCAAGCGUUGUUCGGAAUUACUGGGCGUAAAGGGCUCGUAGGUGGCCAACUAAGUCGGACGUGAAAUCCCUCAGCUUAACUGGGGAACUGCAUCCGAUACUGGAUGGCUUGAGUUUGGGAGAGGGAUGCGGAAUUCCAGGUGUAGCGGUGAAAUGCGUAGAUAUCUGGAGGAACACCGGUGGCGAAGGCGGCAUCCUGGACCAACACUGACACUGAGGAGCGAAAGCCAGGGGAGACAAACGGG